UUGGACCUGAAAUCAGAAAACCGACACUCGUUAA
rnacentral:rRNA from 1 species